rnacentral:lncRNA from 1 species
CAAAAUAUUCAUAGCUAACCCUGAAUGCUAGGCUUGGAUGUGAAUUUCAUUUUCUUCUCUUUGCUACUGUCUAUAUUUUAUAUAAGUAGACUUUUUAAAGCCAUGUAAAGCCUUGACUCCUGAGACACAGUGGUUGGUUUGGGAUCUGGGGUGAUUUGACUGCCAUCACUGUUGAUGGUUUUUCAUUGUUUCCUCUUGCUAUUUACUUUUGUUUGAUGUUCAAGGUCAGGCUGUAAUGAUAUGUUCAACUUUUGGACCAAAGCCAUUUCUCCCAAGAAGAGUUCUAGGUUAUCCCGUUUUGUAUUUUUUCUCUGGUGUCCUGAUGAAGUGCUUCUUGCCUGCAGUGAGUACAGAAAACCACCAAAGGAUGGAGAGUCUAAACAACAGAGUGAAAGUCUGAAGCCUGAGGAUCUCUCGCUGCUGGCCACACCCAUGUUCCAGGCUGCUGGGCCGUCACCACACAUCCCUCUGGUUCCGUAAUUACACUUCCUUAUGCUUGUCCUUAAAUCCAUAGGUCAUGGGCAUAAUCUAGUUACACACACACACUCACCACAUACCACACACAUGCACACACACACACACACACUCUCACACUCACACACAUACCACACACAUACACACACACACUCACACACAUACCACACACAUGCACACACACACACACACUCUCACACAUACCACACACAUACACACACACACUCACACACAUACCACACACAUGCACACACACACACUCACACUCACACACAUACCACACACAUGCACACACACUCAUACACAUACUACACUCAUGCACACACACACACUCACACACAUACCACACUCAUGCACACACGCACACUCACACACAUACCACACUCAUGCACACACGCACACUCACACACAUACCACACACAUGCACACACGCUCACACACACACACUAACACACAUACCACACACACACACACACACACACACACUUUAAUCACCUUGCUGUUCUCCAAGCAGGCACAUACCACGCCCCCACGACAAGCACAUAACCUCCAAUAACCUUAACUCACCAGAGUCACUGCUCAAAACCUCAAAGUCGUGAGUGACCGAUUCUAAUCUCUCCCUUUCUUAUUUCACCCCAAUUUUUUGUCCUUUUAUGUCAUCCCCAAAGGAGGGGGUGCAUGCAUGUUUUGAAUCACCUAUGGCCUUCUCUUAAAUGAAAUCAUUUCUUAAAGAAGGAGGGAGAUGUAGCAGGUAGAAGAAUGGUGGGAAGGAACAAGAGAAGAAAUGGGAAGACAACAAAAGAGGAGGUCGAAGGAAAGAACCUUGGUGCCUACUUUCUGGUUCUCUGCUGACUGUUGCUUUACUUCACAGGGGGGCUUUGCCACGUGGGAUAGGUUACUGUGUCGUUCCAAUAAUUUUUUUAAGACUUAUUUAUUUUAUGUAUGUGAGUACACUAUAGCUGUCUUCAAACACACCAGAGGAGGGCAUCAGAUCCCUUUACUGAUGGUUCUGAGCCACCAUGUAGUGGCUGAGAACUUGACUCAGGACCUCUGGAAGAGCAGUUGAUGCUCUUAAUCGCUGAGUCAUCUCUCCAGCCCAUCAUUCUGAUGAUUUAAAUGGAGGAGAUUAUACAGGUAAAUUUAUUAACAAAUAAAUACCUUUCUGAGUUUAUUCAUUCUCCGUGAACAUGUUCCUAGGUUGAAACUUCGCCUAGGGAUCUUGCUUAUAAACACAGAGCAAGCGAAGAGCAGGAGAGAUGGCUUAAUGGUUUAAAAUGCUUGCUGCUGUCCCAGAGGACCCAAGCUCGGUUCCCAGCACCCCUGUCAGGCAACUCACAAACUCCAGUAACUCCAACUCCAGGGGAUCUGGCGCCCUCUUCUGGUCUCCUCUGCACACACAGCCCACACUUAAACACAUAAAUCAAUAAUAAAAAUAAGUCUCAAAAGCUGAAAUAGCAAGCAGGCUGGGGAGAUGGUUUGAUGAGUAAAAGCGUGUGCCAUGUAAGUGGGAGGACCUGAAUUUGGAUCCCCCAAUUUCACAUCCAAAAGCCAAGCACCGCCACAGGAGUGGGGCUAGGGGUAGGUGGAUCCCAAGAGCUCAGCAUCCAGUCAGCUUUUGCCUCCUUUAACAAAGAGAAGACAUUCACAUCACACUACAUUGGGGAAGACUGGGUGAAGCAAGCUCUUUGCGUCUAUUGUGCAGACACAAAGACCUCAGGAACACACGUUGAUUCUAGACUCCCAUUUAAUGUCUUCACUGAGGACGAGUCUGGUCUCUCUGACAAUCUCUUCUUCCUGUGGACAAGGACUCCUGGGGUCAGGUAGAGGGGAUGGGAGGAGGUGUCGACUUGAA